CAGCCAGAGACCUGUUUGCCUCAGGAAGACGAAUUCGUCUGGAUUCCUACCAUGGCCUGGGCCCCUCUGCUCCUCACUCUGCUCACUUACUGCUCGGGGUCCUUGGCCCAGUUUGUGCUGACUCAGCCACCCUCAGUAUCAGCGUCUCCUGGGCAAACGGUUACGAUCUCCUGUGCUAGGAGCAGCGGCAGCAUCAGUGAUAACUGGAAUUCCUGGUACCAACAGAUCCCUGGCCAUGCUCCAGUACUGAUUAUAUAUGAGGAUAGUAAGCGGCCCUCAGGGAUUCCAAGUCGAUUCUCUGGUGCCAUUGACAGCUCUGCCAAUGCUGCCACUCUAACCAUCUCUGGGCUCCAAGCCGACGAUGAGGCUGAUUAUUACUGUUAUGCAGGCAGUCACAGUGAUUCAGACACAUGGGGAACUGAGACAAAAACCGCCCUUCCUCUGACCCGUGCUGUGCACUGUGCAGGCUGGCGGCGCAGAGCUCCUGUGAUCAGCGCGCUGUAAAAAAGGGGAACUAGAAUGGGAAAUUCUGUUUUUGUU